rnacentral:rRNA from 1 species
UACGAAGGGGGCUAGCGUUGUUCGGAAUUACUGGGCGUAAAGCGCGCGCAGGCGGCUCGUUAAGUGGCUGGUGAAAUCCCGGGGCUCAACUCCGGGGCUGCCGGUCAUACUGGCGAGCUGGAGCACGGUAGAGGCGGAUGGAAUUCCCGGUGUAGCGGUGGAAUGCGUAGAUAUCGGGAAGAAUACCGGUGGCGAAGGCGUUCCGCUGGGCCGUUGCUGACGCUGAGGCGCGACAGCGUGGGGAGCAAACAGG